GACGAACGCUGGCGGCGUGCUUAACACAUGCAAGUCGAACGGAAAGGCCCUGCUUUUGUGGGGUGCUCGAGUGGCGAACGGGUGAGUAACACGUGAGUAACCUGCCCUUGACUUUGGGAUAACUUCAGGAAACUGGGGCUAAUACCGGAUAGGAGCUCCUGCUGCAUGGUGGGGGUUGGAAAGUUUCGGCGGUUGGGGAUGGACUCGCGGCUUAUCAGCUUGUUGGUGGGGUAGUGGCUUACCAAGGCUUUGACGGGUAGCCGGCCUGAGAGGGUGACCGGCCACAUUGGGACUGAGAUACGGCCCAGACUCCUACGGGAGGCAGCAGUGGGAAAUAUAGCACAAUGGGCGGAAGCCUGAUGCAGCAACGCCGCGUGCGGGAUGACGGCCUUCGGGUUGUAAACCGCUUUCGCCUGUGACGAAGCGUGAGUGACGGUAAUGGGUAAAGAAGCACCGGCUAACUACGUG
rnacentral:rRNA from 1 species